CGUAGCAACCAUAACACGGGGGUUCCACCUGAACCCAUUCCGAACUCAGCAGUUAAGCCCCGUAGUGCCGACGAUACCAGAAGGGAAAAUAGGUCGUUGCUUUUU
rnacentral:rRNA from 1 species